rnacentral:rRNA from 1 species
GACGAACGCUGGCGGCGUGCUUAACACAUGCAAGUCGAACGGAAAGGCCCUGCUUUUGUGGGGUGCUCGAGUGGCGAACGGGUGAGUAACACGUGAGUAACCUGCCCUUGACUUUGGGAUAACUUCAGGAAACUGGGGCUAAUACCGGAUAGGAGCUCCUGCUGCAUGGUGGGGGUUGGAAAGUUUCGGCGGUUGGGGAUGGACUCGCGGCUUAUCAGCUUGUUGGUGGGGUAGUGGCUUACCAAGGCUUUGACGGGUAGCCGGCCUGAGAGGGUGACCGGCCACAUUGGGACUGAGAUACGGCCCAGACUCCUACGGGAGGCAGCAGUGGGGAAUAUUGCACAAUGGGCGGAAGCCUGAUGCAGCAACGCCGCGUGCGGGAUGACGGCCUUCGGGUUGUAAACCGCUUUCGCCUGUGACGAAGCGUGAGUGACGGUAAUGGGUAAAGAAGCACCGGCUAACUACGUGCCAGCAGCCGCGGUGAUACGUAGGGUGCGAGCGUUGUCCGGAUUUAUUGGGCGUAAAGGGCUCGUAGGUGGUUGAUCGCGUCGGAAGUGUAAUCUUGGGGCUUAACCCUGAGCGUGCUUUCGAUACGGGUUGACUUGAGGAAGGUAGGGGAGAAUGGAAUUCCUGGUGGAGCGGUGGAAUGCGCAGAUAUCAGGAGGAACACCAGUGGCGAAGGCGGUUCUCUGGGCCUUUCCUGACGCUGAGGAGCGAAAGCGUGGGGAGCGAACAGGCUUAGAUACCCUGGUAGUCCACGCUGUAAACGGUGGGUACUAGGUGUGGGGUCCAUUCCACGGGUUCCGUGCCGUAGCUAACGCUUUAAGUACCCCGCCUGGGGAGUACGGCCGCAAGGCUAAAACUCAAAGGAAUUGACGGGGCCCCGCACAAGCGGCGGAGCAUGCGGAUUAAUUCGAUGCAACGCGUAGAACCUUACCUGGGUUUGACAUGGAUCGGGAGCGCUCAGAGAUGGGUGUGCCUCUUUUGGGGUCGGUUCACAGGUGGUGCAUGGCUGUCGUCAGCUCGUGUCGUGAGAUGUUGGGUUAAGUCCCGCAACGAGCGCAACCCUUGUUCACUGUUGCCAGCACGUUAUGGUGGGGACUCAGUGGAGACCGCCGGGGUCAACUCGGAGGAAGGUGGGGAUGACGUCACGUCAUCAUGCCCCUUAUGUCCAGGGCUUCACGCAUGCUACAAUGGCUGGUACAGAGAGUGGCGAGCCUGUGAGGGUGAGCGAAUCUCGGAAAGCCGGUCUCAGUUCGGAUUGGGGUCUGCAACUCGACCUCAUGAAGUCGGAGUCGCUAGUAAUCGCAGAUCAGCAACGCUGCGGUGAAUACGUUCCCGGG